CAAAAUCUACCGUAAACCGAAACCCAUCUUCGAAUCUUCAUUUGAAUGAUUUUUGUUCGAAAAAAAGAAAUCAUCAUCAACAUCAACGACAGGAACAAGUUUUUUCCCAUUAGAAACCCACAAUAGAAUUCCCCUCAUAAACAUAGAAUACAUCUGAUCUUUAGGACAUGUUCUUGUGUAAAUUCUAUAACUCGAUUUCGAAUCCGAUCUCAGAUUAGUGAUUAGUAUGCUGUACUCUGCAUUACCCAUAAAAUGGUUAGGCAAAUCAUUUACAAAUUACAGUUUUUCAAUUUAAUGGUGGAAAUUAGAGUUCAUCCGAUUGUAACCGUAGAGAUCCAUUGAUCAGCUAGGAGUGAGUUUUGGUUCGUUUGAAGGAUUUGGACAUUUGGGUAUCCAUCAGCAGCUGAGUGAAUCACCAGUUUUGGGAUGGAAAAUACGGUGUGCCGAAUUAUGCCGUUUCUCGUGUUACUUCGAAGGUAGUCGAAGCUCCAUCAUGAUCAAAUCUGCUGACGGGAAGAUUUCUGAUACCCUCGUGAAUGGGGGUUUGGGUCAUCAUAAAGAUUCUAAUUCUGUAAACGGGAAGUUAGAGACAUUCAAGGACCUUAUCAUCUAGCCUUGCUCUGCAUGUCUUCUUUUUCAUUUAGUCCGGAGUUCAAAGUCAUCCGCAUAAAGAAGUAAUGAGAACAGAAGUCUGUAGAAUGCUGAGACUGAUUUCAACAAAUGUACCGAAAUCAUCUUUGAGUUGAAGAGGAAAAGAGGUGAAAGAAGAUGAUGGGAGGCGGGUCAAGCUUGUGAUGAUUCCCGAGAUUUUGUCAGCACAAUUGCAUUAAGCAUUUAGCUGGUUCUCUGAGAUUUUACUUUAGUUUAUUUUUUCUAGUUUCCCGCCAUUUUUAUUCUGACCAGUUCCAGAAGUGAAUUCCAAACCAAGAUGUGUGUAAUUAGUUCCUUUCUAUUUAUUUUGUUAUAUUUCCAUGGAGGGGUUCCUUGGCAAUAAU